rnacentral:rRNA from 1 species
AGUGAACGCUGGCGGUAGGCCUAACACAUGCAAGUCGAACGGCAGCACAGUAAGAGCUUGCUCUUACGGGUGGCGAGUGGCGGACGGGUGAGGAAUACAUCGGAAUCUACUUUUUCGUGGGGGAUAACGUAGGGAAACUUACGCUAAUACCGCAUACGACCUACGGGUGAAAGCAGGGGAUCUUCGGACCUUGCGCGAUUGAAUGAGCCGAUGUCGGAUUAGCUAGUUGGCGGGGUAAGGGCCCACCAAGGCGACGAUCCGUAGCUGGUCUGAGAGGAUGAUCAGCCACACUGGAACUGAGACACGGUCCAGACUCCUACGGGAGGCAGCAGUGGGGAAUAUUGGACAAUGGGCGCAAGCCUGAUCCAGCCAUACCGCGUAGGUGAAGAAGGCCUUCGGGUUGUAAAGCCCUUUUGUUGGGAAAGAAAAGCAGCAGGUUAAUACCCCGCUGUUCUGACGGUACCCAAAGAAUAAGCACCGGCUAACUUCGUG